CUGGCGGCAUGCCUUACACAUGCAAGUCGAACGGCAGCACGGGAGCAAUCCUGGUGGCGAGUGGCGAACGGGUGAGUAAUAUAUCGGAACGUGCCCAGUCGUGGGGGAUAACGUAGCGAAAGCUACGCUAAUACCGCAUACGAUCUAUGGAUGAAAGCGGGGGAUCGCAAGACCUCGCGCGAUUGGAGCGGCCGAUAUCAGAUUAGGUAGUUGGUGAGGUAAAGGCUCACCAAGCCGACGAUCUGUAGCUGGUCUGAGAGGACGACCAGCCACACUGGGACUGAGACACGGCCCAGACUCCUACGGGAGGCAGCAGUGGGGAAUUUUGGACAAUGGGCGCAAGCCUGAUCCAGCAAUGCCGCGUGCAGGAUGAAGGCCUUCGGGUUGUAAACUGCUUUUGUACGGAACGAAACGGUGAGCUCUAAUACAGCUUGCUAAUGACAGUACCGUAAGAAUAAGCACCGGCUAACUACGUG
rnacentral:rRNA from 1 species